rnacentral:snRNA from 1 species
AUGCCUGUCGGGACCCGAAA